GACGAACGCUGGCGGCGUGCUUAACACAUGCAAGUCGAACGGAAAGGCCCUGCUUUUGUGGGGUGCUCGAGUGGCGAACGGGUGAGUAACACGUGAGUAACCUGCCCUUGACUUUGGGAUAACUUCAGGAAACUGGGGCUAAUACCGGAUAGGAGCUCCUGCUGCAUGGUGGGGGUUGGAAAGUUUCGGCGGUUGGGGAUGGACUCGCGGCUUAUCAGCUUGUUGGUGGGGUAGUGGCUUACCAAGGCUUUGACGGGUAGCCGGCCUGAGAGGGUGACCGGCCACAUUGGGACUGAGAUGCGGCACAGACUCCUACGGGAGGCAGCAGUGGGGAAUAUUGCACAACGGGCGGAAGCCUGAUGCAGCAACGCCGCGUGCGGGAUGACGGGCUUCGGGUUGUAAACCGCUUUCGCCUGUGACGAAGCGUGAGUGACGGUAAUGGGUAAAGAAGCCCCGGCUAACUACGUG
rnacentral:rRNA from 1 species